rnacentral:siRNA from 1 species
AUACUCGAUGACAAGCUUCAGAGC